rnacentral:rRNA from 1 species
AAACCCUUACCGAAAGCAAUUGGAGGGCAAGUCUGGUGCCAGCAGCCGCGGUAAUUCCAGCUCCAAUAGCGUAUAUUAAAGUUGUUGCAGUUAAAAAGCUCGUAGUUGAAGUUCUGGCUGAUCGAUCCUCGAGCUCUGUAGCCGAGGACUCGUCAGUCAUCCGCUUGCAAAUAUAUGUUCGCCUUUAACCGGGUGGCUAUAUGAGUAAGCAAUUUACCUUGAGAAAAACAGAGUGUUCCAGGCAGGUUUGUCCGGAAUGCAUUAGCAUGGAAUAAUAGAGUAUGACUGAAGUCGAUUUAUUGGUUUGAGGCUUUAGUAAUGAUUAAUAGGAACAGUCGGGGGCAUUGGUACUUGUCAGUCAGAGGUGAAAUUCUAGGAUUUGACAAAGACUAACAAAUGCGAAAGCAUUUGCCAGGGAUGUUUUCAUUAAUCAAGAACGAAAGUUAGGGGAUCAAAGACGAUCAGAUACCGUCCUAGUCUUAACUAUAAACUAUACCGACUCGGAUUCAGAUGAAUCAUAAAGUUCAUUUGGGACCGUAGGAGAAAUCAAAGUUUUUGGGUUCUGGGGGAAGUAUGGUCGCAAGGCUGAAACUUAAAGGAAUUGACGGUUUUGCACCACCAUGGAGUGGAGUCUGCGGCUUAAUUUGACCCAGCACUGGGAAACUCAUCAGGGCAAGAAGAUUGUAGGAUUGACAGAUUGAGAGUUCUUUCUUGAUUGGUCUAGUGGUGGUGCAUGGCCGUUCUUAGUUGGUGGAGUGAUUUGUCUGGUUAAUUCCGUUAACGAACGAGACCUUAACCUGCUAACUAGUACACCGAUGACAAAUCGGCGUUACUUCUUAGAGGGACUAUGUGAUGUAAUCACAUGGAAGUUUGAGGCAAUAACAGGUCUGUGAUGCCCUUAGAUGUCCUGAGCUGCACGCGUACUACAAUGGUGCUUUCAACGAGCUUUUCCUGAUCCGAAAGGAUUUGGGUAAUCUUUUUAGUGAGCACCGUGCUUGGGAUUGAUCUUUGUAAUUAUGGAUCAUGAACUAGGAAUUCCUAGUAAGCACGGGUCAUCAGCCCGUGCUGAUUACGUCCCUGCAAAAUGUGCACACCGCCCGUCGCUAUUACCGAUUGAGUGUAAAGGUGAACCUUCUCGAUAGUGUCACCGCUAGAAAUUAAGUAAACCUUUGCACUUAGAGGAAAUAAAAGUCGUAACAAGGUUU